CAGGGCAACGGGGAUGGGGUCCCCCAUAAAACCGCAUUCGUUGAUGACUCCUGCCAGCGC
rnacentral:ncRNA from 2 species